UACGUAGGGGGCAAGCGUUAUCCGGAUUUACUGGGUGUAAAGGGAGCGUAGACGGCGAAGAAAGUCUGAAGUGAAAGCCCGCGGCUCAACCGCGGAAUGGCUUUGGAAACUUUUUUGCUGGAGUACCGGAGAGGUAAGCGGAAUUCCUAGUGUAGCGGUGAAAUGCGUAGAUAUUAGGAGGAACACCAGUGGCGAAGGCGGCUUACUGGACGGUAACUGACGCUGAGGUUCGAAAGCGUGGGUAGCAAACA
rnacentral:rRNA from 1 species